rnacentral:lncRNA from 1 species
GGCGUACGGCCGGCCAAUUUUUCUCUGAACAUAGCCUGGGCCCACCCAUACUAGCUGUUCCUGCACUUGUCCGCAUCCAGCCUAGUCUCGGAGUUCCCAGUCGCGGACGCUGAGCUAGCUGGGGUUGAACUUACUUCGCGAACCUGGCUCACCCUCUCCCCGGCAGGAAACACCAACUGUGUCCUGGCCGGAAAUUGAGUCAGACCGCGAGGCCUUCUGGGAAAUGCUGUUCGGUAGUAGACCGGUGGCCUGGAGGCGGGUACUGAGCGAGGGUACGCUGUUACUGCAUCUGGCCCGGGCUUGCUUUCGGGUUUCCUUCCCUAAACCUCCUAGAAACUGCACGCUGGGACACGCUUUCGAGCAUUUCUUGCAGCCUGGCAAUCUCAGGAUUCUGCUCUUUCUGAGGAAGAAGAGGAUAUGACCAGAUCUCUUGUAAGUUUUAAGGCCUUAUUUUGUUUAUUGCCUUAUUUUGCAGUGUAGUUUUAGGGAGUUACCAUUAUCCAUCUAGUAAUUUGGAAAAAAAUCUAAACAGAUGAAAAUCAAAAUAAGGAAAAAAUACAAAUAGAAGAUAAAAACCAGGGGAAAUGUAAGAUAUGGAUGUAUAGGAAAAAGUCUAUAUACAAUUAUUAAAGAUGAAUUCAAAUUUGAAUGUGAUCUGGAGAGACCAACCAAACUGGGGCAUA